rnacentral:rRNA from 1 species
AUUGAACGCUGGCGGCAGGCUUAACACAUGCAAGUCGAGCGGUAGCACAGGGGAGCUUGCUCCCUGGGUGACGAGCGGCGGACGGGUGAGUAAUGUCUGGGAAACUGCCUGAUGGAGGGGGAUAACUACUGGAAACGGUAGCUAAUACCGCAUAACGUCGCAAGACCAAAGAGGGGGACCUUCGGGCCUCUUGCCAUCAGAUGUGCCCAGAUGGGAUUAGCUAGUAGGUGGGGUAAUGGCUCACCUAGGCGACGAUCCCUAGCUGGUCUGAGAGGAUGACCAGCCACACUGGAACUGAGACACGGUCCAGACUCCUACGGGAGGCAGCAGUGGGGAAUAUUGCACAAUGGGCGCAAGCCUGAUGCAGCCAUGCCGCGUGUGUGAAGAAGGCCUUCGGGUUGUAAAGCACUUUCAGCGAGGAGGAAGGUGGUGAGCUUAAUACGCUCAUCAAUUGACGUUACUCGCAGAAGAAGCACCGGCUAACUCCGUGCCAGCAGCCGCGGUAAUACAGAGGGUGCAAGCGUUAAUCGGAAUUACUGGGCGUAAAGCGCACGCAGGCGGUUUGUUAAGUCAGAUGUGAAAUCCCCGGGCUCAACCUGGGAACUGCAUUUGAAACUGGCAAGCUAGAGUCUCGUAGAGGGGGGUAGAAUUCCAGGUGUAGCGGUGAAAUGCGUAGAGAUCUGGAGGAAUACCGGUGGCGAAGGCGGCCCCCUGGACGAAGACUGACGCUCAGGUGCGAAAGCGUGGGGAGCAAACAGGAUUAGAUACCCUGGUAGUCCACGCUGUAAACGAUGUCGAUUUGGAGGUUGUGCCCUUGAGGCGUGGCUUCCGGAGCUAACGCGUUAAAUCGACCGCCUGGGGAGUACGGCCGCAAGGUUAAAACUCAAAUGAAUUGACGGGGGCCCGCACAAGCGGUGGAGCAUGUGGUUUAAUUCGAUGCAACGCGAAGAACCUUACCUACUCUUGACAUCCAGAGAACUUUCCAGAGAUGGAUUGGUGCCUUCGGGAACUCUGAGACAGGUGCUGCAUGGCUGUCGUCAGCUCGUGUUGUGAAAUGUUGGGUUAAGUCCCGCAACGAGCGCAACCCUUAUCCUUUGUUGCCAGCGGUUCGGCCGGGAACUCAAAGGAGACUGCCAGUGAUAAACUGGAGGAAGGUGGGGGUGACGUCAAGUCAUCAUGGCCCUUACGAGUAGGGCUACACACGUGCUACAAUGGCGUAUACAAAGAGAAGCGACCUCGCGAGAGCAAGCGGACCUCAUAAAGUACGUCGUAGUCCGGAUUGGAGUCUGCAACUCGACUCCAUGAAGUCGGAAUCGCUAGUAAUCGUAGAUCAGAAUGCUACGGUGAAUACGUUCCCGGGCCUUGUACACACCGCCCGUCACACCAUGGGAGUGGGUUGCAAAAGAAGUAGGUAGCUUAACCUUCGGGAGGGCGCUUACCACUUUGUGAUUCAUGACUGGGGUG